ACUAAUGGAGCUUCUACUCUUUGCAGAACGAAAACCGAACCUUAUGGAAAUUGGGUACACUGCCUCCAGGUUUAAUCACAUUUUAUUCUACUACGAAGCCACUCGACAAGUCUUGGCAUGUGUUGGGGCUUGGCUACAAUCCAAGCAUAAGCAUGGAUGAGAUCAAUAAUGCUGCAGUUGUCCACUUUAAUGGGAAUAUGAAGCCAUGGCUUGAUAUUGCAAUGAACCAAUUUCGGCCCCUUUGGACAAAGUAUGUGGAUUAUGAAAAUGAGUACGUGCAGGCAUGUAAUUUCGGUCUUUAAAUAAAUGAGGUCAGGUGGAUUUAUGCUUCAUGGGUUUAAUAAGCUAUUCCUACAAGCAUCCCUUAACAUGACUUGCCGUUGCUCUCUCCCACGGAAAAUUAGUGCUCAUUUUUCUAUGCCUUAGCUAGUAAUUUGUCUAUCCAGAUCUUCGCGUUUUUAUCAACAGUAGUUUGGUGUUUUAGUUUUCAAUUGUCUAUAUGGUGUUGAAUUUUUAUGGAUGGACCAGAAGUUAAAAUAAUAUAGCAAGUUCUAUUUAAUUCAGAAGGCUACUGUCAGAGUUUAGAUAUUGGCAAUUUUGUGGGUAGUAAUUUACUUCAGAAUUCAUGAUUAAGCAACAUUAUUUUUUCUGGUAUUUAAUUUCGUCACUCUGUGUAGUCUGUAGGUCAGCUGUGCCUUCAUCUCGAGUAUGGGAUGCAUUUCAAGUUGUUAGUGCAUAGAUUUAUAGAUUAACUCCUGAAGGCAGCAGCUUCAAAUGUUUUCUUUCAGAUUGCUUAUGAAGUCAUCGAUCAGUAAGUGUGUAGUUAAUUAUCAUAUGCAACUGAGACCAGUUUAGAUAUUUUUCAGCCUGUAUGCAUUUAUUAUGUCGUA